rnacentral:rRNA from 1 species
CAGUCGCCGCGGUAAUACGGAGGGUGCAAGCGUUAAUCGGAAUUACUGGGCGUAAAGCGCACGCAGGCGGUCUGUCAAGUCGGAUGUGAAAUCCCCGGGCUCAACCUGGGAACUGCAUUCGAAACUGGCAGGCUAGAGUCUUGUAGAGGGGGGUAGAAUUCCAGGUGUAGCGGUGAAAUGCGUAGAGAUCUGGAGGAAUACCGGUGGCGAAGGCGGCCCCCUGGACAAAGACUGACGCUCAGGUGCGAAAGCGUGGGGAGCAAACAGGAUUAGAUACCCCUGUAGUCCCUGUCUCUUAUAA